UCAAUUCUGUUAAGUAGGAAAUAAAAUUUUUACAAUAAUUUAUUUUUUUUAUUUUUUGAAAUAUUUUUAGCCACAUAGUUCAUUUUUUAAUAUAAAUAUAUGUUAAAUACAAUAUUUUAAAAAAAUUUAUAUGUGUUCGCUUUGCGGUUUUCCAGCAACAGAUGGUUUGCUAGAGUUCGCGGGGGGUUUAAAAAGGAUAAAGGGAAAAAAAUUCUGUCAACGAGCAGAAACCAUGGCAACCAAGCAGACAAAUGGCUGUCAUUAGAAAAAAAGUGCGCCAAAUUUUUUUAAAGUGUUUUUGCUAGUGAAAGACUGUUUUUAAAUUUAAAAAAAUUUUGUUGAUACGCAAAAUAAAAAGACACAUGGUGUAUAACCUAUGUGGGUACUUAUUGCACUCUAGGAAGUAUUUAUUGAAAUGUGAAGAUUGCCUAAAUACCCUCGAAACAUCUUUGGAAUCGCUUCCCCCUGAUUUUUCUGAAGCAAUUGCGACAAACAGAAAGGAUCGCGGUGGUCUGAAGUACUGCACCAAAGAAAUGUUCGACUUGUUCAUCAUAGUUGAAGAAGCUUACCGGGCAGAGGUUGACUUAGGGAAACUGAACAUCCUGGACUGGUUUGAGAGAUCGAUGGAAACUCUGGGUGUGCUGGUGAAGGAAAAUAAAUUCAAUCCCACCAUUUGCUGCGACACACAUCGGAAGGAACUUGUCGGUAAAUUAGUUUUAGAGUAUUUAAUCAUCAGAAAUCAUUUGGAAACUAAAAAGUGGGUUAAGGAAUUCAAUCAACAAUCAAAGUCAAAAUCACUGCGAAAACAAGCAAAAGUGAUUUCUUAGUCUCUUUUCCUUUUUUACUUUUACCGUACUGCCAUUCUUACUGACUAAUCUAAAGUUGUAACUAAGAAACGAUUCAAGCAAUAAAACUUGUUCAAAAUGUG